rnacentral:rRNA from 1 species
UACGUAGGGGGCAAGCGUUGUCCGGAUUUAUUGGGCGUAAAGAGCGUGUAGGCGGCCAUGCAGGUCCGCUGUGAAAACUCGAGGCUCAACCUCGAGACGUCGGUGGAAACCGCAUGGCUAGAGUCCGGAAGAGGAGAGUGGAAUUCCCGGUGUAGAGGUGAAAUUCGUAGAUAUCGGGAGGAACACCGGUGGCGAAGGCGGCGAUCUGGGUCGAUACUGACGCUGAGGUGCGAAAGCGUGGGGAGCAAACAGG